rnacentral:rRNA from 1 species
AACGAACGCUGGCGGCAUGCCUAACACAUGCAAGUCGAACGAAACGUUCGUGUCUUUUGGCGCACGGGUGCGUACGGCGUGGGAACCAGCACUUAGGUUCGGAAUAACUCCCCGAAAGGGGUGUUAAUACCGGAUAAGGUCUUCGGACCAAAGAGUUAUGGCUGUUGGAUGGGCCCGGGUUGGAUUAGGUAGUUGGUAGGGUAAAAGCAGACCAAGGCGACGAUCCAUAGCUGGUCGGAGAGGAUGCUCAGCCGCACUGGGACUGAGACACGGCCCAGAAUCCUACGGAAGGCAGCAGAGGGGAAUAUUGGACGAUGGGCGAAGGCCUGAUACAGCAAUGCCGCGUGAGUGAUGAAGGCCUUAGGGUUGUAAAGCUCUUUUUCACGGGAUGAUAGUGACAGUACCGGGAGAAUAAGCUCCGGCUAACUCCGUG